rnacentral:lncRNA from 1 species
UCAGGUCAAAUCAGAUCAAAUCCUCCUCUCUUCCACUUCUAAAUCAAACAGAGUACAUCUUCCUUCUGAUUUGAACUAAAAGCCUAUCAAUCCUUCUCUUUUCCCUUAACUUUUGAUUUUGAUUUUUUUUUUAGUACUUAUUGUUUUGAUUUAUUAAGAUGGGAAGAGGAAAGUUUAAGGGAAAGCCUACCGGUCAGCGUCACUUUUCUACCCCCGAGCAGAUGCGUAAGAAUGUCUUCUUCAUCUUCUUCUUCUUCUUCAUCUUCUUCUUCUUCUUUAAAGAAAUUGCACUUGGGAUCUGGAUUAUUAUUUAAACCAUCUAUAAGUUGUUGCUUUCCUGUUUAUUUUUUAUUCCUUGUAAAAUUUAAGGGUUUUUUUUUUUUAUUUGUUGCAUAAUUCCGAUUUAUUGCAGUUGCUGGCACCUCAACCCGUCCUCGCACGUUUAAGCGGGUAUGUCUCUCGUCUUAUCCCAGCUCUGAUUAGUAAUUGUGUUUUUUAUGUAAUUGUUUUGGUGAAGUUGAUACUGUGUGUGAGAGAGAAUCUGUAUUUAAAAUGCUCAGGAGGAAGCUGAGUAUGAAGAGGAAAAGAGGGAAGAGGAAUCUGAGGAGGAAUCCGAAGAAGAUGAUCCUGAUGUUAGUGAUUAUUAAAGUAUUUACACUAUUUAUUUUUUAUUUAUUAUUUAUUUGGAAUGGCUUGUUAAUUGGAAAUUGGUUGAAUAAUGUUUAGCAAAAGCGGAAAGGAACUCAAGGUAUUAUUGAGAUUGAAAAUCCUAAUUUGGUGAAAGCGAAGAACUUGAAAGCUAGAGAUGUUGAUGUAAGUUUCGGUUUCAAUGUUUUUUUAGUGAUUAUAUUAGAUCGAGAAGUAAUGCUGUUAUUAUUUGGUGUUUUCAGACUGGGAAAACAACGGAGCUUUCAAGGCGUGAAAGGUUUGCAUAUUGUUUAUUGAAGAAGGAAUUCGUUUUUUGUUGAGAUGUAGAGAAGAUAUCAAACUGUUAUGGCCGUGCUGAAACAGGAUAUAAUAUGUUGCUCUUAGGGCUCAAUCUUUAGGUGUACUAGAUUAUACCUGAAGAAAUCUUGUUUGACAAUGCUUGCUUCGAUUCCUUUGCAGGGAGGAGUUAGAGAAACAAAGGGCUCAUGAGCGAUACAUGAGGCUGCAAGAACAAGGGAAAACAGAACAAGCUAGGAAAGACUUGGGUAAGAGAUUAUAUGCUCUUUGGGCCUAAUGUGAAUAUUUUGUAUUUGAGCAUGGGUUGAAGGUAUUUUAUAUCCACCAUAUUAGUGUGGUAGGAAGUGAAACGGUUACCUCUAAUGAUUUAGAUGUCAUAUAAUGGUGUGCUAUUGUAUGGUGUGACAUGGUUAGCAUGUCUCAGGUUUGUGGGCUUAUCCCACCAAUAUUACUGUUAACAAUCUCAUUAGAUUUCUGUGAGAUAGCUUUGGUCGAAGAAUGUUUCUUUCCUUCUGUGCUCUAUUUGCAGCCCACAUAUGUUUCCAUCUUUGUAAGUUUCAUAUUCUAUUUUUCAUGCAGAACGAUUGAGUCUCAUCCGCCAGCAAAGGGAAGAAGCUGCGAAAAAGCGAGAAGAAGAAAAGGCUGGUAUGGUUCUAGGAGAAACUGCUUUGCCCUCCAUUUUCAUGUUUUCUUGUAAAUGAUAGAAACUGUGUUUUUGCAGCCAAGGAGCAGAAGAAAGCAGAAUCUCGGAAAUGACCAUAGGAGGAAAGUAUCAACAAUUAGUGCCCUCCAUAAUAUGCUAGAAAGAACUUGCUAGUCGGCCUAUAAUAUUCCUAUCUUGGUGGACAAUGUUAUUGGUUUUGAAAAGCAAAUAGAUUAUUUCAUGCUUUUUAGAAAGUUGAACUUUAAUUUGUAUACAGAAUAUUUUGAUUGUAUUGUAUUUGAACAUCCAGCAGUAGCAUUUGAUGCUAUUCUGAAUUCCAAUUCUCAAACCUAUUUGUUCGCAGCUUACUACGUGUCUUCUUGGGAAUGCCUGAACUGUUGCCCCUGCACUAUGAUAACCAUUACUUGUUUUAUAUUAUUGAACAUGAUUUGUCACUGUUGCGAGUCCUCGAGAAUGGAGAAUCCAGUUAUGGUGUGAUUUUUUUUCUUCUGCAAGUCCUCAACUCUGGCAUUGUUGGCGGACUAACGGAAGGAUUGGGUUAGUUGCUUGAAAAAAUUGCUGUUAAAAUGCUUUAUGGUGUCGCGUAACUUGGGAAGCAAUGUAUGGCACAUUGGAAAGGUAAUUGGUGUGCUCAGAGUGUUUUCUAUUUUUCUAUUUCAAUAUUUUACUUCAUUUAUAGUUUUUAUUUUUUAAUAAAAAUCAGAAAGCCUUUUCAUUUUUUAUUGUUUUAAAAUAUUAUUUCAAUUAAGAAGCUAGAAAAUAUCUUCAUACUGUAUUAUUUUCUAUUUGAAGAUAUAUAGUAAUGGAGAAUAUCGUGUUCAAAAUGAACUUGUCUUUUAGGAUAUUUUGUACUUUUCGACUCUUUUUUUUCUCAUCUUAAAAGUUCACGAAUUCUCUCUCAUUUUAGCGUUCUUCAUUAGAAUUAAGGGAUAACUUAGUGGAUGCAUGAAGGAGUCCACCUGCCAUAAACUUAUUAAAAAAUUGAGCAAGCUUGUAAUUAUAACAUCUCAUUGAUUUAAAUACGAUAUAGUUCUUGCAUUUCUAUAAUUUAAAUUAGAUGCGUUACAUGAAUAAGUUGAAAAAUAAUAUACCAAUAAAAUGAAUUUUUAGCCUUGAGCUUUCAGUAUUACAUGCUCCGUCAGAGCCAGGUCUUUACACGUUUAUGACCUAGACAACCAAACUUUACAUAAAACUACAGCACUAGGCUGCUGCUAUCACAUGGAGGGAGGGUGGAGGCAAGCAAAUACUUUAUCUGGAGAAGAACAACAAAUAAAGAAACAUGACAAAUUUAAGAUUCAAAAUGGGCUACAAAUUCAUCUCUAGUUCUUAAAAAAUAGUAACAUUUAGACUGUUGAAUGUCUUUUGUCAACAUAGCAUAUUGUCGUGUGGUCAGAUAAACCUGUAUGAUGUCCCAAAGACGACAAUCUUUAGGCUAAUAAAAUCUCGGAAGAGAAACAUUUCGAAACUUUGCAACGCUCAUGACGAGCAACAUCCAGCCUUUUUCACAGCCGAGACAUCAUCUCUGCUUCCGACAUUAAUCGUCUGUCCUUUGGGCAAGUAUGUUGAGUCAUCUCCAACGUCAAGAGCCUUCCUGCUUACAACACGGUAGAUCUGGGUUAGCACUUCUGUGAAAGCAUUUUCAACAUUCAUUGACUCGAGAGCAGAAGUCUCCAUGAAAAAUGUGCUCUCUCUUUCAGCAAAACCCUUGGCAUCCUCAGUGGCAACUGCUCGGAGGUGACGCAGGUCUGCUUUAUUUCCUACAAGCAUGAUCACAUUGUUAGCAUCUGUGUGAUCGCGAAGCUCCUUUAGCCAUCUCUCCACAUUCUCGAAUGUAACAUGGCGGGUUACAUCAUAGACUAGUAAGGCUCCAACAGCUCCUCGAUAGUAUGCACUUGUUAUAGCACGGUAUCUUUUGGACAAAAAAAAAGAGUUAGAAAUAAGACAGCCGAAUUUGCUACAUCAUCAUCUAAACAAGAAAUCUUCAUCACAUACUGUGGGAGUCAUUAUUCAGGAGAGUUGCCCUCUCCUCUCUUACAAGAAGGUAGGGUCCAUGAAUAAUUUUCACGAUGAAUCCCAUGUUUAUACGAGAAAGAGGGUGGGUGCAAUUCUUGAUAUACCUAAUGAUUUCUCCAUUUUGCAUGAAUUGUAGAAUUAUAAAACCAAAUAGAAACAUUGGACAACAUAGGCGUUGCUUGGUUAUAUUAAUCUAGCCCUUCUACUUUGUAAAAUGAUCAUAACAAGGAAGGAUUGCAAACAUUAAUUAAAUCCUCCCAAAUCAUCAAGGUAAUGCCAAGAGAGUCUUAAUUCUGAUUAAUAAACUGUAAUUUCGUAGAUCCCAAAAAUCACCUUCACAUCACCCUGUAGUUCCUUACAAUACAAUCUACCGGUCAUUCUUAAUUAUGGAUGUUUAACGUCAAACCCUCCACCGUUCCAUCCUGAUCAUGGGCAUGGAACAAGUGCAAGUAGUUACAAUUGCACAGCCGUGCAUUGUCAACUACGCAAAGCAUUUCUAUGGCAUCAAAAUUGGCCAAGUCUAUGACCAUUAAUGUACGUUAGAAUUCAUUUUAUUGAAUUCCACAUUUGAACAAUUCAUCAUGUAUUGCCUAUAAUUUUCCAAGUUAUUUAAUAUUUUUAGUUAUUGAGAAUUCAAGAAAAGCCAAUAUUCCAAUCCAAAUAAUCAAAAUCACAACCCACAUUGUUAUAUAUUUUUUUAUUUUUUUAAAAAAAAACAACAAUCAUGACAUGAAAAAAUAAAAAGAAUUGGAUGAGAGAUCUAUAAGAAAAAAAGAGGAAGGGAAUGUGGGGGAACCUUUCUUGGCCAGCAGUGUCCCAAAUCUGGGCCUUAACGAUUUUAUCAUCAACGCGAAUGCUGCGAGUAGCAAACUCGACGCCAAUGGUGGAUUUGGAUUCGAGACUGAAUUCAUUUCUUGUAAAACGAGACAAGAGAUUGGAUUUGCCAACGCCUGAAUCACCGAUCAAUACCACCUUAAACAAGUAAUCGUAAUCAUCGUCAGCUCUAUAGGCUCCCAUUUGAUGGGUUUUUUUCUCCUUUUUUUUUGUGUCGUUUUAGUUUAUAUUGAGUUAAGGUGGUUUGGAGAAUGACAGCAGGGAAAGGAUUAUCUAAAGCAAAUUCAGCAAUGCUGUUUUUUAAACACAAGAGGUGGUUUGUGUGGGCUUUUUUUUCUUCUCUCUCUUUUUUUUUUUAAAAAAAAUGAAGGAAUUAUGGGCUUUUUAUUUGGAUUAAAGUUAUAUUUUCUAUUGACUUUGCACCAUUUACACAACAUAUCUUCGGUGAAUACUUGCAUGAAAAAUAAUCUUUUGCCAAAUCAUCAUCUGUUCAGAUGUGAUGUACACGAGAUUCGAUUAGAAAUGUACUUAAUUUCGCCGGAGGCAUGGCCUUAAAAAAUAUAAAAAAAUUGAAACUCAAAAUAAUUAUUUUAAAUUCUGAUGGUGCAUGUUAAAAAUAAAAUAAAAUCAUUCCAAUUAUAGUUUUAAAACUUGACAUGGUUUGAUAAAUCAAUCCAGGAUUCAGUUAAAUCAGGAUUGAAAUCGGAUCAAAUUUAAAAAAAAAUAAAUUUUUACUAAACUGGAAGUGACCUGACAGAUUAAUUCGACAAGACUAGGUUAAAAACUUAGUUUCAACUCGUUGAUUUUUUUUUUUUACUAAAAUGACAUCGUUUUGAUUUUUUUAAAAAAAUAUAUCUUGGACGACCCGGUAACCCCGUCAAAACUCAAAACCCGAAUCUUAAAUCAGAUUAAAUUUAAAAACUAUGAAUCCACUAGAGGCAUGAAAUAAAAGCCACUUUGUUUGUGACAUGGCAUGAUGAGAUGAAGUCCUUGUUUGUUUAUUUGUAUUGUGGUGAUAGAUUAAAUUUUAAUUUUUUUUAUUUUAAAUUAUUAUUUUUUUAUUUUUUUAAAAUUGUUUUAAUGUAUUUAUAUUACAAAUAAUUUUUUUAAAAUAAAAAAUAUUAUUUUAAUAUAUUUUUAAAUAAAAAAUAUUUUUAAAAAUAACCAAUAUUAUAUAUAUUUUCAAACACCCAAACUAAAAAAACCAGUCCGUUUCAUUCAUAACGUAAACGGAGUGAAAUGGAAACUGGAAUAAAAGACAGUCGGAGCAACUUCUCCCAUUCUCAGCACAAAAAUGCACAUUCAUGCAUUUAUUAAUGGCUGAUGGCUAGGAGAGAAGAGAGAGGAAAGAGAAGACGAGAAGAAAAGGAGGUGAAGGAAAGAAUGGGUCAUCACCAGCUACUGGGAAGAGCUCAAUGAAAAGAUUCCAAAAAGACUUUGGAAACAAUUUUUUCUGCCUGAGUGGGCCGCAAAUUGCAUUACUGUGUUCUUUUGAUGCGUUUUCCUUCAGACUUAUUUUUUUUAAUGCUUUAUGGCUGCAAAUCAUCUUUGUUUUCUUUGGCAAGUUCCUCCUUGGCUUUCAUGGUGUCAACUUCCACCGAUUCUUAUCAUAGCUUGCCUAUCACUGUUUUGGGGAAUAUGGUUUGAUGAUCUAGAUUAUAAAUUUGGUAGAUUAAUUUGAGUUGAUUCAAAUUAUUUUUUGGUUUUAUUUUUUAAAUAAAUUUUAGUUUUUAAUUUUAUCUUUUAACAUUAAAUUUAAUGAGAAUUGCACCUUAUAAUUUAUUUUGAUUUAUUUUCUAUCGAUUUUAAGGUCUCAUGAACUAGGUCAUUAAUUUUAUAAGCAAACUCGAGUGAACCUAAAUUGAUUUUAUAUAUUGUUGUCUUAAUAUUUUUUUGUAAAAAAUAUGUUGUCUUGAAUUCUUUUAAUUAAACUAUGUUUUUUACGGUUAUUUAAAUUGUUAUUUAACUCAUCAAAUCUACUGAGUAAUAUUACAUUUAAAAAAUCAAUCUUUAGAGAAAAAAGAAGCCCAUCCCUGAUAUUAUUUUUACUUGAAUUUGCUAAAAUUAAAAGAGAACUUUAUGGUAUGGUAGGGAAACGUAGAUAAGUGUCAUUGAUCUUAAAAGAAGAAAUAGUACAUCAAGCGUAACAGUUCGAAGGGAAUACUAUUUUUAAUUACAAAAAAAAGUUUCGAAUCCAAACUUUAUGGAAGAGGCCGGGGACAUGAGCUGAGGGAAAUAGAAAUUCAAGUAUUCAAAACUAAGAUGGUAUUUGGCUAAGAUCGAUACAAUAACCUAUCUGCGAUAAGCCCNNNNNNNNNNNNNNNNNNNNNNNNNNNNNNNNNNNNNNNNNNNNNNNNNNNNNNNNNNNNNNNNNNNNNNNNNNNNNNNNNNNNNNNNNNNNNNNNNNNNAUCCAUAAUUAGCGCGAAGGUUUAAAAGUCGUCUACUUAUAAAAAUGGCCAGCCAAUUGUAAGGCUUUGCAAUCUAAAAUGAGCACCAACAUAGCAGCUCGGAGCAGCAAAGCCCUUCACAUAGCCAUGUAUCCAUGGUUUGCCCUAGGUCACCUUACUGCAUUUGUCCAUUUCUCAAACAAGCUUGCAGAGAGAGGCCACAGAGUCUCUUUCUUCUUGCCAAAAAAAACUCAAUCCAAGUUUGAGCCUUUCAAUCUUCAUCCUGAUCUCAUAACCUUCAUUCCUAUCACUGUCCCUCAUGUUGAUGGCCUCCCUACAGGCACCGAAACAACUACUGAUGUUCCCUUCCCUUUGCAUCCUCUUUUAAUGACUGCGAUGGAUCUCACAGAACAUGUCAUCGAGGACCAUCUUCGCAUCCUUAAUCCUCACUUCAUCUUCUUUGAUUUUACUCAUUGGUUGCCGGAGUUGUCACGCAAGCAUGGUAUUAAAUCUGUGCAUUUCUGUAUCAUUAGCCCAGCUACCAUUGGUUAUACGUUAAGUCCUGAGAGAAAACUUGAGAGCUUGACAGCAGCUGAUUUGAUGCAGCCUCCGCCGAGUUUUCCCCCGUCAUCAAUUAAGCUGCGUGCUCAUGAAGCUCGAGGAAUAUGCGCUGUUACUGUAAAACAAUUUGGAAGCAACAUUUCAUUUCAGGAACGCAAUAUAUAUUCUUUAAGUCAAUGUGACGCUAUUGCCUUCAAAGCUUGUAGAGAGAUGGAAGGGCCUUAUUCUGAUUAUAUUGAGGACCAAUUUGGCAAGCCUGUGAUUCUGGCAGGUCCUAUCGUGCCAGAACCACCAAACUCCGUCUUGGAAGAAAAGAUUGCCAAAAUGUUGGAUAGCUUUAAAGCUGAAACUUUGGUAUUCUGUGCCUUUGGGAGUGAAUGUAUUCUUAAGAAAGAUCAGUUUCAAGAGCUGGUUUUAGGUCUUGAGCUUACAAGCUUGCCCUUUUUCGCUGUCCUCAAACCACCUAUUGGAGCUGAAACAAUCGAGUCAGCCUUGCCAGAAGGGUUCGAGGAGAGAGUUAAGGGAAGAGGACUUGUUUAUACGGGUUGGGUCCAGCAACAGCUGAUCUUGAGGCAUCCUUCUGUAGGAUGUUUCGUGACUCAUUGUGGAUCUGGGUCGUUGUCAGAGGGUAUGGUAAAUAAGUGUCAAUUAGUCCUCUUGCCAAAUGUUGGAGACCAAAUAAUCAAUGCAAGAGUAGUGGGUGGAGAUCUGAAAGUUGGAGUUGAAGUCAAGAAAGGUGAAGAAGAUGGCUUGUUUACAAGACAUGGUGUCUGCGAGGCAGUGAAAGCUGUGAUGGAUGAUGAUAGUGAAGUGGGGAAAUUGGUGAGAGCAAACCAUGCAAAAUGGAGAGAGUUUUUGUUAGGCAAAGAGCUUGAAAACUCUUAUGUUGAUGGUUUUGUCCACAAGUUGCAUGAACUGCUGGAGUGAUCCAGUUUGAUGAAUUGAACUGUUUUUGCCUCUAUUUUUUUUUCUCCCAUGUAUACAUGGCCACAUUAUGCAGAGGCACGCAGCUUAUGGCUAGAAAUAUGCCUUACCUUAAAUGCUAUGUUGUUAUAAAACUGGGUAAUUGGUGUUAGUUUAAUAUUUCUUGAAUGUAAUCGGUUGGUUAAUUACAUGUUUUAUUAUUAUAUUAUUAUUAAUAAAUAUUUAAUUUAUCUUUUAUGUUUAUAUUUUUUAAUAUUUCUUUAAUACUGUAAAAUUUUAAUCGGGACCUUAUGACUAGAAAGCUUUAUUUUUUUUAUUUUUAAUAUUAAAAAUAAAUAUUUAAUAAUUAAAAAUCUCAUCCCAAUUAUUUACUUUUAUUUUAUUUUAUUAUUAUUCAGGUUUUCUCAAACAUCGUAAAAUUUUCUAAUUGGAGGUUUACAGAAAAAUAAUAAUAUUGAAGUCUUAUUUUACAAAAACUAUGUAAUUAAGUAUGUAUGUGUAUUGAUGUACAAGGGGAUUAUUAAUUUAUAUAUAAGUGAGAACUCUGUGUUUUUUUAAGUAUAUUAUCUUACAAAUUUAAUGAAUUAUUAAUUUACCCAAGUUGAGACUAUUAAAAAAAAUUAUUUAAUCAAUAUUAUUAAUUUAGGGAGUAAUAUUUUAUCAAGGUUAUAAUAUAUGCAUUAUUUAAGUACGAUUACAUGCAUACCGGUAUAUAUCCGUUACCAUUACCAGGAAGAAAGAAAUCAUGCACAGAUUUUGGGGUAUAUAUCCUUGAGGAGGAAGGGACUUCCCUACCCUAUUUUGGGGUAUAUAUAAAUCUACUGCCAAAUAUAACCCAAAGACAGAGUUCUAUAUUUAUGAUUACUGGUGAGCUCCUCUAUGGCACAAUUGCCUAACUUCUUCUAUGUCUUUAUUCUUGGCUAGGCAUAUGCAACAUUCUUGUCAAUAUCAUAACACAAAUAUAAGAAGAAGAAAGAAGAAAUCAUUAGGAAGAUGAUCAUCCAUGGCUUUUCAGCUCAUGCUCUGAUUGCAUGCUGAUAAGGUAGUUUAGCUACGUGUAUUUUCAAACUAGGACUUACCAGAUCUGCGCUUGCAACGGUUGAAUCACAAUCAACACUGUUGCGAAACUCCGAAUCCGUGUCCACAGCUUUGUACCUCCGGCUUGGUAGUCUGGAUAUUUGGUCAUCGGACGCCCCUCUCUCGGCAGAACCCAUGCUCAUGUUGUAACCAAUGACAGUGCUAAUGAGAAAUAUGGUGAUUUUGAUUUUCCUUUUGCUUUCCCUAUAAAAUAAUUUGUUUAUUUAAUAGCAACUUUUGUGACAUUGGUUAUUCAACUUGAAGGCAAAAUCCAGGAUAAAAGGAUUUGCAAUGACAUGUCAUCGUUUAUUUUAUUUUGUUUUAAUUUUUUAAUAUAAUUUUCUACUGAGGAAAUAUAUCCAUCAAAAAUUUACCAACAGAAAUAUUUCUUCAGUAUUUUUGUUUGUAUUUAUCAAUUUUCUAGUAAUGUAUAAUAUUAGAUUAAUUAAUCUAGAGUAAAGAUAAAAUUCAUGGAACAAAAAUGCUUUGCAAAUAUAAUUAUAAAGUUGUUAUAAUUAUGACAUUACUAUUGCAUCAAAACAUUGUUUUUAAAAUGUUCAUGAUUGAUACUCUCUUAAAUACUAGACAUUCAUUAGAACUAUAAAAAAUGAUAUAUAUAUAUAUAUAUAUAUAUAUAUAUAUAUAUAUAUAUAUUUAUGAAAUGAAGUAGUUGUUCUCAUAAGUUGAGGUAUGAAGGAUACCUAGAAUUAAUACAUAGAUGUUUAUCAUAAGACAUGUAUACUAAACUAACAUGCAUGAGAAUUUUAUAUGGAAAGAUCACAUAUGUCUAUGGAAAGGCUCACAUGACAGUCAUGUAAGUAAUCCUUAGACUUGAGAUCUCUAAGUCAUCUUAUAUAAAGAAUGUUAUGUUUUGAUCCUGUUACAUAUUAUCUUAAUUGAAGUAACAAAAUGGCAUAUAUUGGGUAUAACAUGAACUAUAUGAAGGUACUUGAGUAAUAAAGAGAGGAUUCAUCACCUUAAGUGAAUUAAGAAAAAUGUUUCAUCUAUUCUCAAAUAGUAUUGACUGAGAAAUCUUUGGUUAAGGUGAAAUGAGAUUUGAAAAGAGUUUCAAAUCUUAUUCAAACAAUCAAUGACUAUUACGUAGAGAAUAAAUAUGAUUUAGCAUGACAAACAUACUUCAUGCUUUAAUGUUAAAUUAGAAUAUCACUGAUGAAAAGGUAUUAAUUACACUGAGAAAUCGGUCACUAAAAAGUUAAGUCAAACCACUAAUGACUUUUAUAAUAUUUUGGAGAUCAUGACAUGUUACUAGACAAUGCAUCAGAUCUUCAAAUAUAAAUUAAUCAAUUUUUAAAUUAAUAAUAAAUUAAAUUUUUUAAUUUAUUUAAUUCUAUUUAAUUAUAAUUAUAAUUUAUAUUUGGGCCAACAUAUUAGAAACUUAAUGAGUUAUACACAUUAAGAAUCAUUAGUCAAAAUUAAAUUGAGAUGAUUUAAUUUAGUAUUACUUGAUUAAAAUAUAUUUUAAAAAUUAAGGACUAGAUUAUAAUUAAUACAUGGAUUAUAUUUCUACACCUAGAAAAAUCAAGGACUUGAUUGAGUUAAUUUCUAAAAUUAUCCUGAAUUAAUAUAUGAAUAUUAUUUAAGGGAGCAAUGGAUAUUUUGCCAAUCUUUAUUACUGGCAGCUCGAUAUUUUUAUUACUAUAUAAAGUCCACGUCGAACCAUUUGUCNNNNNNNNNNNNNNNNNNNNNNNNNNNNNNNNNNNNNNNNNNNNNNNNNNNNNNNNNNNNNNNNNNNNNNNNNNNNNNNNNNNNNNNNNNNNNNNNNNNNAUAGAAAAACUACGUAAACAUAAAAUUAGAGUUAGCACUCUAGGCAUAGCAGUCCUUCUCUCUUAAAUAGGGAUUUAGAACAUUUCUCAUGAGUGGUUUUGUGGAUUACUAUUGGAGGCCGCUAGACAAUUGGACGUCUUGUGGUUUGCAACAACUCUGCCUUUAAAAAAUUAUUCAAAGUCAAAGAAGAUCAGACAUUCAUGUAACAAAUUCCUAAACAACUUUAGAUCUAUCUAACUCUGAGGACUCCUGAAUAAUUUUGUGUCAUAGUUUACACCACGUGUAUGAUAUUUAAAAAACCUAACACUUAGAACUUGACAAGUUCUGCAUUAGAUCAUAUUAAGAGGUAGCGUGCAAUUAAACUUUGUCAAGAACCUACUAGUGAUGUACAUAAAUGUUCAUGGGACAUGAUAUAUAUAUGUGUGUGUGUGUGUGAUAACUGUAAAUAAUUUAAUUAAAUCAUUGAAUUUAAAAUUAAAUACUAAGAUUUAAAUGUUAAUUAUAUUUCUUAAAUUAGAAAUGAUGUUUCAAAUGGAUAUGAAUCCAACAUCAUAAUGUUUUAAACCAUACGAGGAUUUAAAUAUUAAUUAUGUUUCUUAAAUUGGGAAUGGUGAUUCAAAUUUAAUGAUAACCUAAUAUAACAUUAGUAUUUAUACUAAAACAAAUUACGAAUAAAGGAAGAAAGGUUAAAAUUCACCAUGAACAAUAAAAUCGACUGGAUUUAAAAAGUCUUAAUUAAUUAGAAAAGUUAAGGGAAAACUAACGAAUCAACCAUGAAUCAUGAUUGAUCAAAGAAAAACAAUUGAUCAGAACUAAAGUUUACAUGGUACACUAAAAGGUUUAUUUCUAUUUAUAGUGGGAAUCCUUGACAAAUUAAACUAACAACACGGUAUAAUUUAGUUAAGAUUCAUGACAUUAUUAACAAAAAAAAUAAUUUGUAUUAAGAUUCAAUAUAUUUUUUAUCUGAUAUAAUUUAUUUAUGUAAGACUAGAUAAAAUUUAAAUACUAUAUUAAUAUAAUAAAUGAGAUCAUCCUAUUACUAGAAAAGAUGACCCACCUCACAUGAUCAAUAAAUAGUUAGUUAGGUUGGGAUUAUCAUGCAUUAAAUAAUAUUUAUUCAGUUUAAAAUUUAAAAAUUAAAAAUUAAAAAUUAUUUAAUAAAUAUAAUAAAACAUGCGUAGAUUCAAAUCCAAAUUUUCCUUUUGGGUUCCAAGACGCCAAGGAGGUUGAGCGAUCCAAUCUGGGCUANNNNNNNNNNNNNNNNNNNNNNNNNNNNNNNNNNNNNNNNNNNNNNNNNNNNNNNNNNNNNNNNNNNNNNNNNNNNNNNNNNNNNNNNNNNNNNNNNNNNNNNNNNNNNNNNNNNNNNNNNNNNNNNNNNNNNNNNNNNNNNNNNNNNNNNNNNNNNNNNNNNNNNNNNNNNNNNNNNNNNNNNNNNNNNNNNNNNNNNNNNNNNNNNNNNNNNNNNNNNNNNNNNNNNNNNNNNNNNNNNNNNNNNNNNNAAUCAGAUCAAAUCCUCCUCUCUUCCACUUCUAAAUCAAACAGAGUACAUCUUCCUUCUGAUUUGAACUAAAAGCCUAUCAAUCCUUCUCUUUUCCCUUAACUUUUGAUUUUGAUUUUUUUUUUAGUACUUAUUGUUUUGAUUUAUUAAGAUGGGAAGAGGAAAGUUUAAGGGAAAGCCUACCGGUCAGCGUCACUUUUCUACCCCCGAGCAGAUGCGUAAGAAUGUCUUCUUCUUCUUCUUCUUCUUCUUCAUCU